UAAAAGGACUUCUGUCAUGAGUGGCACACAUAGGGUUGCUUGAUUGUGCUGCAUGUGGAAUCGACAUCAAGAGAUUUUGGAAGCAUAAUUUUUUGGUACUUGGGAACCUGGUGAUCAUUGUUCCACCCACCUCCCCA